rnacentral:rRNA from 1 species
UACGUACCGUACGAACGUUAUUCGGAAUUACUGGGCUUAAAGGGUGCGUAGGCUGUGCAGAAAGUUGGGUGUGAAAUCCCCCGGCUCAACCGGGGAAUGGCGCCCAAAACUACUGUGCUCGAGGAAGACAGAGGUAAGCGGAACUUCGGGUGGAGCGGUGAAAUGCGUUGAUAUCCGAAGGAACACCGGUGGCGAAAGCGGCUUACUGGGUCUUUUCUGACGCUGAUGCACGAAAGCUAGGGUAGCGAACGGG